CACAGGCUGGUCGGGCGCGCCUAGCCGGGUGAGCUGGGCAGCGGCGCUGAUUGGCCUGGACGUCCCCGGGGCCCCGCCCCCAACGAGGAGCUGGUCCACGUGGGACUGGCUGGCCGCCUCCCUGCAGCCUCGCCCGGGUUAUCCUGUCUGCGCUGGCCACGCCGGGUGGCUGCGGGCGGGGACUGUGGGGGAGUCUCGCCCAGACACGCGGGGACUGAGGCCGCCACCAAGGUCGUUCCGAGUUUCUCCCACGCGGGCCCGGGUCAGCUCGGUGGCGACGCGGAAGAGCGGGUGUGCUGAGACUUGCCCUUGGCCGGACCCGAUCUGUACCUCGCCCGGAGAGGGUGGAGGGAUCUCACGUGGCCACCUCGCUCCCGCAGUCACGCACUUGUGUGAAAACGGAAAGAUUCGGGAGUCACGAGGAUAGGCUUGCGUUCCCAGCUGUGGCACUGCGCUGAGGGAGAGCCAUGGGUCAUUAGUUUCCCGGCGCCGGACCUCCGUUUUAGGAGCCCCGGCUAUGGCGCAGCGGGGAGGAUGUUACUUUGGAUUCGAAUUCUUAACUCAUAUUUGCUGCAGUGUGUCACCUUGAACAAACCCUAGGUCUCCUCAAGCCGAGUGCUCUGGAACGAGAAAUAAUAGCAGAGUGAGAGAGACUGGAGGACGGGUUGGAAUUGUGUGUAAAGCACAACAAAGAUGCAUUUCCUGUCAGCUCAUCGGGGCUAGUGGCGACAGGCAGUACUAAUUCAGAGAAACCAACAUUCUCACUACCAAGCCUCAGCACAGCUGGAAGGAAUUCGAA
rnacentral:lncRNA from 1 species